UGGGGAAUAUUGGACAAUGGGCGCAAGCCUGAUCCAGCAAUGCCGCGUGUGUGAAGAAGGCCUUCGGGUUGUAAAGCACUUUUAUCAGGAGCGAAAUCUGCAUGCUUAAUACGUGUGCAGUCUGACGGUACCUGAGGAAUAAGCACCGGCUAACUUCGUGCCAGCAGCCGCGGUAAUACGAAGGGUGCAAGCGUUAAUCGGAAUUACUGGGCGUAAAGGGUGCGUAGGCGGUUCGUUAAGUCUGUCGUGAAAUCCCCGGGCUCAACCUGGGAAUGGCGAUGGAUACUGGCGAGCUAGAGUGUGUCAGAGGAUGGUGGAAUUCCCGGUGUAGCGGUGAAAUGCGUAGAGAUCGGGAGGAACAUCAGUGGCGAAGGCGGCCAUCUGGGACAACACUGACGCUGAAGCACGAAAGCGUGGGGAGCAAACA
rnacentral:rRNA from 1 species